rnacentral:rRNA from 1 species
AUUGAACGCUGGCGGCAUGCUUUACACAUGCAAGUCGAACGGCAGCGCGGGCUUCGGCCUGGCGGCGAGUGGCGAACGGGUGAGUAAUGCAUCGGAACGUGCCCAGUAGUGGGGGAUAGCCCGGCGAAAGCCGGAUUAAUACCGCAUACGAGCUGAGGGUGAAAGCGGGGGACCGAAAGGCCUCGCGCUAUUGGAGCGGCCGAUGUCGGAUUAGCUAGUUGGUGGGGUAAAGGCUUACCAAGGCGACGAUCCGUAGCUGGUCUGAGAGGACGACCAGCCACACUGGGACUGAGACACGGCCCAGACUCCUACGGGAGGCAGCAGUGGGGAAUUUUGGACAAUGGGGGCAACCCUGAUCCAGCCAUGCCGCGUGCGGGAAGAAGGCCUUCGGGUUGUAAACCGCUUUUGUUCGGGAAGAAAUCCUCUGGGCUAAUACCCCGGGGGGAUGACGGUACCGGAAGAAUAAGCACCGGCUAACUACGUG